rnacentral:rRNA from 1 species
AGUGAACGCUGGCGGUAGGCCUAACACAUGCAAGUCGAACGGCAGCACAGGAGAGCUUGCUCUCUGGGUGGCGAGUGGCGGACGGGUGAGGAAUACAUCGGAAUCUACUCUGUCGUGGGGGAUAACGUAGGGAAACUUACGCUAAUACCGCAUACGACCUACGGGUGAAAGCAGGGGACCUUCGGGCCUUGCGCGAUUGAAUGAGCCGAUGUCGGAUUAGCGAGUUGGCGGGGUAAAGGCCCACCAAGGCGGCGAUCCGUAGCGGGUCUGAGAGGAUGAUCGGCCACACUGGAGCUGAGACACGGUCCAGACUCCUACGGGAGGCAGCAGUGGGGAAUAUUGGACAAUGGGCGCAAGCCUGAUUCAGCCAUACCGCGUGGGUGAAGAAGGCCUUCGGGUUGUAAAGCCCUUUUGUUGGGAAAGAAAUCCAGCUGGCUAAUACCCGGUUGGGAUGACGGUACCCAAAGAAUAAGCACCGGCUAACUUCGUGCCAGCCGCCGCCGUAA